UGGAUCUAUUGCUUCAAUUGAUAUCCAUGUUGUUCGUAUAAGAAUUAUGAGUUCAGUCGUGGUUUCAGCUCUAGAUGAUGUUCAAUUCUGUCUUUCAUUGGUUUUGGUUGGAGUUGAGUUCGGGAGGUUUGGAUUGGAUCUUGUUCUGCGGCUUUGAAUUUGGGUGAUAUUUCAAUUUCUUUGUCAUUUGUUUGUACAUUGAUGGCGGAUUGAACUUUUGUUUCUAUUUUUGGUUUAGAGUGUAAACUGUCUAAGAUGUUCUCGUUUCUAGCUUCACGGUCACGGGUCAAAUAUAAUACUUCACUGGGUAACUGUUAAAGACUUGUUUUGCUGAUUCUUUGUUGUUUUUAAUUGUUAUUUCUAGCAUUACCUAUCAGAAGGGUACACAUUUAAGCAGUGGUGGAAUCAACACAGUUAUUGAUUUAUUUUAUUUUAUUUUAUAACUUUAGUAGUCACCUGAGAAGUUGCAAGAGUAAAAUGUUCAAGUGAGAGGUAAGAUGGGGAUUUUAUCAAUUAUAAUGAUAGUUUUAUAUCGAAAACUUAGAAUUCAUAGCGAUAUUUUGCAUGUGAUGAAGACUAACUUGUAUUGCAUGGCAUGAUAAAACUGUUAUUCUUCAGCAAAUGGACAAAGGGUUUCCUGAUGAUCCCCAUAUAUGAACUUAAAAAUUUAAAGCUUGCAAGGUGUAAUCUUCAAUUCCAUAUCAUUUCACUCUCCAAUGCUAAGUUUUUAGAUGGCCUUGCAUACAACAAUUUUUCCCUUUUCUUUUCUUUUCAAGUUUCUUGAUACUUUUUGGCUGAUUAUUAUAUUCUUAUGUAUUGAUUACCUUUUUCAGUAACAGUGAAUGGUACAAUUUGGCCAGGUUUUGGCAUCUUGCUUUUGUGGCUGCAUGUUUACAGUUUGAAUAUAAAACAGACUGAAGCAAAAAUGAGGCAUCUGAAUUUGGAGUGUGGAACUAAUUCAUUUUACGGAGAAUUCAAUGACUGUCCUGUUCAAGAUACCAAAGGUGCUUUAGCAUGCAUGGUUAAUUCCGAAAUAGGAGCAGUUUUGGCGGUGAUGAGGAGAAAUGUAAGGUGGGGCAUUCGAUAUGUGGCAGAUGAUGACCAACUAGAGCACUCUCUCAUUCAUUCCUUGAAAGAAUUACGGAAACAGAUUUUUUCAUGGCAACAUAAGUGGCAUAAUAUUGACCCGGCCAUCUAUCUUCAGCCAUUUUUGGAUGUAAUUCAAUCUGAUGAAACUGGUGCACCGAUCACAGGAGUUGCUUUGUCUUCUGUGCACAAAAUAUUAACCAUUGAUGUGCUAGAUGUCUAUACAGUGAAUGUGGCAGAGGCUAUGCAUUUGAUCGUUGAUGCUGUGACAACCUGUCGUUUUGAGGUAAUUGAUCCGGCCUCUGAAGAAGUGGUGCUGAUGAAAAUUCUUCAGGUUCUUUUGGCAUGCAUGAAAAGUAAAGCAUCAGUCAAGUUGAGCAAUCAACAUGUAUGCAACAUAGUAAAUACAUGUUUUCGUGUUGUUCAUCAAGCAAGCUUAAAAGGAGAAUUGUUGCAGAUGAUUGCACACAACACAAUGCAUGAAUUAGUUAGAUGUAUUUUUUCUCACUUACCUGAUAUGGACAAGAAUGAAGACACAUUGGCUAAUGGAAGCUCCAUUGUUGGCAGAGAGGUUGAUGCACUGGACAAGGAUAAUGCUUUUGGAAGGAAACAUCUGGAAAGUAGAAAUUCUGGGGUUGAAAGCAAUGGUCAACCAUCAAUUGCGGAUACUCCAAGUAAUCUCAUGGGUAUGUUGGAAAGUGGGAAGGAUGAUAACAAGGUAGACGUUGGCAAUGGGAUGGAGGCCGCUGAAAAUGGCGAAAACUUGCGAUGGAGCCUUUUGGAGUCCCUUGCAUGGUGGAAAUAUUUCACUUUCUCUGUUCUCUUUUGAAUGUUAUCGGGCACAUUGAAGUUGGCUCUAGAUCAAAUCCUAUAGCAUAUGAUGAAGAUGUUCCACUAUUUGCUUUGGGUUUAAUUAAUUCGGCUAUUGAAUUGGGUGGUCCUUCAUUCAGCCAACACCCAGCAUUGCUGUCUUUAAUUCAAGGCGAGUUGUUCCGUAAUUUAAUGCAGUUUGGUUUGUCAAUGAGUCCAUUAAUUCUUUCAACAGUAUGUAGCAUUGUUCUUAAUCUGUAUCAUCAUUUGCGUACUGAGCUGAAAGUACAGUUUGAAGCUUUCUUCUUCUGUGUGCUUUUGAGGAUAGCACAAGGCACGCAUGGAUCUUCAUAUCAACUGCAGGAGGUUACCAUGGAGGCUCUGGUUGACCUCUGCAGGCAGCAGACUUUCAUAGCUGAAACUUAUGCUAAUUUUGAUUGUGACAUAACCUGCAGUAAUCCAUUUGAAGACCUUGCUAACCUGUUAUCAUAAAGUGCAUUUCCAGUGAACGGACCUUUGUCCGCGAUGCAUAUUGUUGCACUGGAUGGUCUGGUAUCCAUGAUUAAGGGUAUGGCUGAUAGGAUAGGCAAUGAAUUGUCACUUUCAAAAGACGCCUCAGUAGAUCUUGAGGGAUGUAAAGCAUUCUGGACUAUGAAAUGUGAAACCUAUAGUGACCCAAAUGUUUGGAUUCCACAUGUCCUUAAGAUGAGACACAUUAAGAGAAAAUUGAUGGUUGGAGUGGAUCAUUUUAACCAGGAUCCUAAGACGGGUCUAGAAUUUCUCCAAGGAAAGCAUCUAUUGCCUGAGAAGCUUGACCCUCUAUGUGUAGCAUCUUUAUUCCGGUACACAGCUGGGUUAGAUAAGAAUCUUAUUGGCGACUUUCUUGGAAAUCAUGAUGAAUUUUGUGUUCAGGUGCUUCAAGAAUUUGCUGGAACUUUUGAUUUUCGAGGCAUGAAUCUGGAUACUGCAUUGCGACUUUUCUUGGGAACUUUCAGGUUGCCUGGAGAAUCACAGAAAAUACAGAGGUGCUAGAAGCAUUUGCUGAGAGAUAUUAUGAACAGUCACCCCUGAUAGUGGCUAACAAGGAUGCUGCUCUCUUGUUAUCUUGUUCACUUAUAUUGCUGAAUACAGAUCAACAUAAUGUACAUGUUAAGGAAAAGAUGACUGAAGAAGAUUUCAUCCGCAACAAUCGGUGCACUAAUGGAGGGAAAGAUUUUCCCCGAGAAUACCUGUCAGAACUUUACUGCUCAAUUUGUGAGAAUGAAAUCCAGAUAAUUCCUGAACAAGGUGCUGUUUUCCAUUGAUGACAUCUGGCUGCUGGAUUAAUGUACUGCACAAAUCCAAAAUUACUGAUCCUUUCAUCAUCUGUGAUUCUAGAGCGCUCCUUGACUAUGACAUGUUUGUAAUAUUGUCAGGUCCCACAAUUGCUGCUAUGUCAGUGGUUUUUUAUCACACAGAACACGAAGAGGUUUGAAAACAUGUGAUGAUGGAUUCCUGGAGAUUGCCAAAUUUUCUUCCUCUUAUAAUUGUGAUGAUGUAUUGGAUGAUUUGGUUGUCUCUCUCUGCAAAUUCACAGCCCACUUGACUCCAUUAUCUGUUGAUGAUGCUAUUUUAGCCUUUGGAGAAGACACUAAAGCAAGGAUGGCAGCCACAACUGUUUUCACCAUGGCAAACUGGUAUGGUGAUUACAUCCGCUGUGGCUGGAAAAAUAUACUGAAUUGUGUCUUGAGCUUCCAUAAGCUUGGCCUUCUACCUGCUCGGCUUAUUAGCGAUGCAGCUGAUGACAUGGAGCUCUCUUCUGACAUAGAGAGAGCAAAGCCUGCUCCAAGUCCAAGUUCUUCCUUAACAUCGCACACCACACCUUCAGGGACCACUACUCGGAAGUCGUCUGGUUUGAUGGGCCAGUUCAGCCAGCUCUUAUCUUUUGAUAUUGAAGAGCCAAGGUUACUGCCAACUGAGGAACAGCUUGCAGCGCAUCAGCUUAUUCGUGAAACCAUACAAAGUUGCUAUAUUGAUAGCAUAUUUACUGAGAGUAAAUUCCUACAAUCUGAGUCUUUAUUGCAGCUUAUAAGGUCGCUUAUCCUGGCUGCAAGCCAUCUCCAUAACGGAACUAGCCCUGUGGAGGAUGAAGGUGCUGCAGUGUUCUGCUUGGAUUUGCUGAUUGCAGUUACACUGAAUAUUCGGGAUAGGAUUAUGCUUAUUUGGCAAGAAGUUUAUGAGCAUAUAUCCAAUGUUGUUCAGUCAACCAUAAUGCCAUGCAUUCUUUUGGAAAAGGCUGUGUUUGGGCUCCUUAGGAUAUGCCAGCGAUUACUUCCCUAUAAGGAAAAUCUGACAGAUGAGCUCCUCAAGUCACUUCAACUGAUAUUGAAACUCGAUACUCGGGUUGCUGAUGCUUAUUGUGAACAGAUCACACAAGAACUUAUUCAUCUUGUAAAAGCAAAAGCCACUCAUAUCAAAUCCCAUGUGGGUUGGCGCGCAAUCAUUUCCCUCCUAUCCAUCACGGCUCAGCAUCCAGAAGCAUCACGAACCGGAUUUGAGGCACUAGCAUUUAUCAUGUCUGAUGGGGAACACCUUUUGCCAUCUAACUAUGUUCUUUGUGUUGAUGCUGCAAGACAGUUUGCUGAGUCUCGAUUGGGGCAUGUUGAAUGGUGUGUUUCUGCCCUAGAUAUGAUGGCAGGUUCUGUUGUUUGUCUGGCAAGAUGGUGUUCUGAGGCUGAAAUUGCAGUGGGGCAGGAGGCUGCUAUGAAAGUGAGUCAGGAUAUUGGGGAGAUGUGGCUUAGGCUGGUGCAAGGACUAAGGAAAGUGUGUCUGGACCAUAGGGAACAGGUGAGGAACCAUGCUAUUUUAAUGUUGCAGAGGUGUAUGGCUGGAGCGGAUGUGAUGUGCAUUCCUAUGCUCUGUGGUUCCAAUGUUUUGAUCUGGUGAUCUUUACAUUGCUUGAUGAUUUGUUGGACAUUUCACUGGAGAGCUCCCCUAAGAAUUACUGGAAAAUGGAGGAAACACUUGUCCUAGCCAUGAAACUAAUGCUGAGAGCAUUCUUGAAACAACUGCAGGAUCUGUCACAGCUGCCAUCCUUUUGUAGACUACGGUUAGGAGUUCUUAAUCAUAUGGAGAGAUACAUGAAAGUAAAAUUCCGAGGAAAGCACAGUGAGAAGAUACAUUAAUUAGUUCCUGAGCUUCUCAAGAAUAUAUUGCUGGUGAUGAAGACAAUAGGAGUUCUUAUGCCGAGUGAUGAUAUUGGUGGGGAUAGCUUUUGGCGAUUGACGUGGUUGCACGUGAAGAAUAUAUGUUCACCUUUGCAAUCAGAGGUAUUCCCAGACCAUGAAUUAGAGCAAAUACAGGCAAAACACAUAAAAUCAGUGGGAGUUCCUUCACCGGACGAGGCUCUGCUUGUUCCAACUUCCACCUAGUGAGACAACAGUGUGAAGCUAAUUUGAGGAUAGAGUUUCAGAUCAUACUGUGAUGUUUUUGAAAUAUAGUGCCCCAAUAACGUGCCUGCCUGGAAUCAGGAGCUCCAGUUGUUUAACAAUUUUUCUGGAGUUGGCUAUCCAUAUAUACGGUUGAGAAGCUUCAGAAGGAUACAAGGUUAAAUUGGAAGCACAUGUCAGAUCUUAAUUCAACAAUGUUUUUUGGCGGAAUUGCUAAUUGAAUUUUGCUCUCCGUGGACUCACAUCACAGUACUGGUUCUGUUGUAGAGUGCAUUCUACCAGAGGAACAAAAUAGAUCCCUGCAUAAUUUUGUAGUUUGUACUUGCUUAUCAACCACUGUACCAAAAUUUUCCAAAUUAUACUAUUAUGAAUCUCUGUAUUCUUGGUGUCAUAUAAUAUUCUAUCACAAUACAAUGUUUUUUUUUUUUUCCUGGGAAUUUUGGAAAUUUUAUGCACUGUUAUAUGGAAUUUGAGAAGC
rnacentral:misc_RNA from 1 species